rnacentral:rRNA from 1 species
UACGUAGGGUGCAAGCGUUGUCCGGAAUUAUUGGGCGUAAAGAGCUCGUAGGCGGUCUGUUGCGUCGGCUGUGAAAACCCGGGGGCUCAACCCCGGGCCUGCAGCCGAUACGGGCGACUAGAGUUCGGCAGGGGAGACUGGAAUUCCUGGUGUAGCGGUGGAAAUGCGCAGAUAUCAGGAGGAACACCGGUGGCGAAGGCGGGUCUCUGGGCCGAUACUGACGCUGGAGGAGCGAAAGCGUGGGGAGCGAAACAG